rnacentral:tRNA from 1 species
GGGGAUGUGGCUCAGUACUAGAGUACUUGCCUAGCAUGUAGUAGACACUGGGUUUAAUCCCUAGCAUUACCA